rnacentral:rRNA from 1 species
GACAGAGGGGGCAAGCGUUGCUCGGAAUCACUGGGCGUAAAGGGCGCGUAGGCGGGAUGGCAAGUCAGUCGUGAAAUCUCUCGGCUCAACCGAGAAACGUCGGCUGAUACUGCCGUUCUUGAGGGAUGCAGAGGAGACUGGAAUUCCUGGUGUAGCGGUGAAAUGCGCAGAUAUCAGGAGGAACACCGGUGGCGAAGGCGGGUCUCUGGGCCGAUACUGACGCUGAGGAGCGAAAGCGUGGGGAGCGAACAGG